UACGGAGGGUGCGAGCGUUGUCCGGAAUCAUUGGGCGUAAAGGGCGCGUAGGCGGCCCGAUAAGUAGGGGGUGAAAUCUUGCGGCUCAACCGCAAGGCUGCCUUCUAGACUGUCGGGCUUGAGCACAGUAGAGGCAGGUGGAAUUCCCGGUGUAGCGGUGGAAUGCGUAGAGAUCGGGAAGAACAUCGGUGGCGAAGGCGGCCUGCUGGGCUGUUGCUGACGCUGAGGCGCGACAGCGUGGGGAGCAAACAGG
rnacentral:rRNA from 1 species